ACCCGUUUUCGAAAUUGUAAAAGGGCGGCUUCAAAGGUGCAAUACUUAAACCCUUCUUAUGGAAAAAAUGAAAUUUUGCAUUUUUCCCAAUUCGCAUUGGUAGAACCCUACGCCCCAAAAUCGUCUCCAAUCGGCUGAAAGACUGUAGUAGAGGUUCGUAAAUCAGAAAGCGCCAGCGUAUAAUAAUUGUCAAUGACAAGGAAGAGCAAGGGUGUUUGUCGUAGCAGUAGGAAGUCGGGGCAUUGGAUGUCUGACUGCCCGACGAAACGACAAUGCCCAGGCUGUUUUUUAGGCAUUGUCAAGUGUAUGGAAGUGGAGAAAAAAUCGUAAACUUCGGUUGAUUAUUAUGUUGUAGCAGAGACUGUGGUUAUUAUAGGUGGGCGCGGUCAUCCAGCCAUUGAAGAAGAACCCCCCCGUGUCUUGAAGGAGCAUCGAGCGUAGAUCAGAUUGCAGACUUGUCACGCAUGUUACAGAGUGUCGCUCACAUAGCCUAUCGGAAGGACACAAUGAUCUCCGUUAAUGUGACUAUUUGCAUUGGUAAAGGAGAUACAGAAGUCGAUGGAAAGGAAAGGAAAAAAUGCCGUGAAUUUUAGUCGAAUAUGUAAUGAAAUUAAUGGCCUGUAUUGUAGUUAGCCGAAUUUGUGGCCAAGCAAAUCUGUGUCUUGAUAGUGCAGGAAUUCUUGCCAAACUUUGUAUGAAUUUUAUUAUCAGAACUUCCUAUUUUAGCUUACUUGGAUUUUCAAGUCUUUUUUAUUGGUAUAAACUAUGUUUGAAUCA